GACUGUGUAGGAAUAUAUCCUAAGCCAGCAUGCAGCAGUCAGUUGAAGAAUCAGGGCCUGACACUGACAUUUUUUACUGUGCGUGCACAAAUCCCCUUUUAUGAAGUAUUUUAUUGUAAUUAAAAUUCCCCUCCUGUCCUCUGCCUGCUCCCCCAGAUACUAUUCUUCAGUGACAUGUACAUGUGAAGUCUGAAGAUCAGCUGUUUGAAUCUAACUUUUUUCUGCUUAUAAAAACAUGCUUUCCUGCUCUCAGAACUCAAACAGUUGAAUGGAUGUAGCCCAGACUGUUUAUUUCUUUAACUCGCUAUUGAGACAAGACCAAACGUGGAAAGUUUCAGAACAAAAGGAACAUUUUGAAGAAAGAUGAGUCAGUAAACACAAAGGACCAUGUGGAGUUCAUCACCUCAAUGAAGCCGUUAAGGUAUGCAGAAACCACAUUAAAGAAUUAAUUAAUUCUGCCAACAUGCCCUCCGAAAGAAGUCAAAGGAACCAUACUUGGCCAAGGACCAACAGAUUAAAACAAAAUUGGAGUCUCUUGGACAAGCCAUUUUGUAGUUAUAAUGAGCCAAAAACUGUAAGAAAAAUAUUUAAAAACUGAGAUCACCUUCAUUUUUUGAACCUUUGUACAUUCUAAAAGCCUUGACCAAUUUGCCUUAAAUUUGUUGUAAAUUUUCAUGGAGAUUUAUUUUUGGUUUGCUGAAAUUAGUGUGUGUAGGGUCAAAGUUAGUCUUGUAAUGGAAGGGGUGUUGCAAGCUAACUAUGAAGAAACUAAUAUGUUCAACAAUAUAUGUUACUUCACUGUAGUACUAAAUUUCUUUAAAAGUACAGGCGUCAGAGACAAUAAAAUACCAGUCCUCUCAAAAUUAGAGUGCAGAAAUGGUACAUCAAAACACAGAUGUCUCAUAAAUCUAAAUAAUGUGUAAUUUAUAUAUAUAUAAUAUCCAUGCACAAAUAUAAUAUGCACGAGUGGAUUGAAGAAUUUGUGUGCACUAUACAAAGUACCUAGAGACAAGAAACAUUAAAUGUUAUUUAUGUUUGUUCUCCUUUAAGUUUGCAGCAGACUAUGCCACUCCAUUUUAAAAGGGGACUUCUAACUACCUUUUGAAGCUCUGUUCUUCAUCCACCAUUUCCAAGGUUCUUUGAGCUUGUAUACACUUGAAAGUUAAUUCAGAAUAAGAUAGGGUGUGAAUUUAAAGUGCAAUAGCUAUUCCUGAAUAACUCUAUGUGUGGACACAUUCUGGAAUGAAGACUGUCUUGUUUCAGUUUAACUUAAUCCACUUUCAGAGCAAGGCACUCAUUCUGGAAUAAGUGUCCACACAGGGAGUUAUUCAGAAAUAUCUAUCAUGGAAUAACUCCUUGUAAACAAGUCCUUACUUAUCUGGCAAUGGCUAAUACGUUUCUUACACUUUAAGGACACUGACAUGGAGUUUAAAACCUUUGCCUAAGUAAAUUCUUCUCUUAAAGCUAAGUAUUUAUGUUUAGUGACAAGUAUUUUGUUAUCUGAGUGCUCAUACAUCACCAAGUAUGCCCACAAGAGCACACUUCUGCAUGAAAACACAAAGACAAGGGAAGAUUGUGCAUCAUCCAAAGUGAGAUUUCCUCUCUCAAGUUUGGUUUAUCCUGUACCACCUCAGGCCAAGACUUAGGCCAUACCUAUACUAUGAGGAUUAUAACGGCAUAGUGAUGGCUCUCUAGCUAGGCCAUCAUAACCCUUUAGUAUAGGCUCAGCCUACAGUGAUAGAAAGGUGCUCUAGGAACACCACUAUGACAUGACGCUCCAAAUUCUUUAUAGUAAUAUGCUUAUGAUAUGAAUAUGGCAUAACUCAGAUAUAUUUUAUGUAAGAUGGAUCAUGUAAGAUAUCACUGGAAAGGUUAUAAUUUACUGAAUGUGAUUAUCCAAUUUGUAUGCAUGUAUCAUUUCUGUAUUUGGAGUUAGGAAUAUUGACUAUGUAACAAUUACAACUGUGGUUAAUUGUUCUGGGAGUUCCUUCCUGUGGACAUUGCAAAUAAACCUGGUUUCAUGGUUGCUUUGACACUGCAAGGUUAGGUGAUAAUGUCAUCUGGUAAAAAGUACCACCUUGGAGACUGCUGGUACUUUUCCAUUGGAAACAAAGGCUUCCUAUCUUAUGUAAAUUCUAUUUAAGGCUGGGGAGUAAGGCAAACAUUGCCAUCCUCUAUGUAGCGGGGUGGUCACCCGCUCCUGCCCAGAGGGGCUUAAAACAGCCCUGGGGAGGGCUGUGGCUGGGGGCAGGUAGCUCCCAGGCUGAUUGGGGAAGUAGGCAUAGCUGGGGCCAUGCCCCAAACAGACCACAGCUGGCCCUUAGAAAAGGGCUGGGAGCCAGAUGCUCAGAGAGAGUCUCCUCUAGCUGUGGAGAGAGGAGGUACCCUCAGGUACCCUGGCUGCUGGGGAGCAUAUCCAGGGUACCUGAGGUGAAGCAGGGCUGGGGAAGGCCACAGGAGCUGGGAGGCUCCAGGCUGGAAAAGCCCCAGGCUGCAGGCCUGGAAGAUGGCCUAAGACAGGGUACUGGGGUUGCAACAGGGGAGCCCAAGGGUAGGCAGAGGCAGCAGGUCCAAACCCCCCUUGCCUGUGAUGAGUGGCUUGUACACUGCAGUCCGCCCCAGUGAAUGGGGGCUAGGUGGUGACUGGCAGUAGUCAAAUACGGAGGCAAGGUGGGGAUAGAGGGUUGGGGGUUCCCUUAGGAGGAGAGACCCAGAGACUGUGGGGGUACUGCCAGGGGGAAGCCUCCAAGGAAAAGGGGCACUGGGGUCUGGGAGGGACUUGGGGCCCAGCGGCAAGAGGAACACUGGCCUGCAGAGGGCACUCUGGAGGCUGGAAUCGCUAAUUUCCUGGACGACCAGCAGGAGGCGCCACAGGGGUGAAUCCCGCACUGCUACACUGUCCAAGAAGAAAGACAACUGAAAGUACCUGACGAGACAAAGGAACUGAGCUGAGGGAAAGGCAAGGGCUGAAUCCAGACUAAGAAAAGGAGUCUAGUCUGUAAAGAGAAAUAACUGGAACU